AUUGAACGCUGGCGGCAUGCUCUACACAUGCAAGUCGAACGGUAACAGGCCUUCGGGUGCUGACGAGUGGCGAACGGGUGAGUAAUGCAUCGGAACGUGCCCAGAGGUGGGGGAUAACGCAGCGAAAGCUGUGCUAAUACCGCAUGUGAUCUGAGGAUGAAAGCGGGGGACCAAGCAGCAAUGUUUGGCCUCGCGCCUCUGGAGCGGCCGAUGUCAGAUUAGGUAGUUGGUGGGGUAAAGGCCUACCAAGCCGACGAUCUGUAGCUGGUCUGAGAGGACGACCAGCCACACUGGGACUGAGACACGGCCCAGACUCCUACGGGAGGCAGCAGUGGGGAAUGUUGGACAAUGGGCGCAAGCCUGAUCCAGCAAUGCCGCGUGCGGGAAGAAGGCCUUCGGGUUGUAAACCGCUUUUGUACGGAACGAAAAGGCUCUGGCUAAUACCUGGGGCUGAUGACGGUACCGUAAGAAUAAGCACCGGCUAACUACGUG
rnacentral:rRNA from 1 species